rnacentral:rRNA from 1 species
GAUGAACGCUGGCGGCGUGCCUAAUACAUGCAAGUCGAGCGAACAGACGAGGAGCUUGCUCCUCUGACGUUAGCGGCGGACGGGUGAGUCACACGUGGAUAACCUACCUAUAAGACUGGGAUAACUUCGGGAAACCGGCGCUAAUACCGGAUAAUAUAUUGAACCGCAUGGUUCAAUAGUGAAAGACGGUUUUGCUGUCACUUAUAGAUGGAUCCGCGCCGCAUUAGCUAGUUGGUAAGGUAACGGCUUACCAAGGCAACGAUGCGUAGCCGACCUGAGAGGGUGAUCGGCCACACUGGAACUGAGACACGGUCCAGACGCCUACGGGAGGCAGCAGUAGGGAAUCUGCCGCAAUGGGCGAAAGCUUGACGGAGCGACGCCGCGUGAGUGAUGAAGGUCUUCGGAUCGUAAAACUCUGUUAUGAGGGAAGAACAAAUGUGUAAGUAACUAUGCACGUCUUGACGGUACCUAAUCAGAAAGCCACGGCUAACUACGUG